CAAGCGGUGGAGCAUGUGGUUAAUUCGAAGCAACGCGAAGAACCUUACCAGGCCUUGACAUGCAGAGAACUUUCCAGAGAUGGAUUGUGCCUUCGGGAACUCUGACACAGGUGCUGCAUGGCUGUCGUCAGCUCGUGUCGUGAGAUGUUGGGUUAAGUCCCGUAACGAGCGCAACCCUUGUCCUUAGUUACCAGCACGUUAUGGUGGGCACUCUAAGGAGACUGCCGGUGACAAACCGGAGGAAGGUGGGGAUAACGUCAAGUCAUCAUGGCCCUUACGGCCUGGGCUACACACGUGCUACAAUGGUCGGUACAAAGGGUUGCCAAGCCGCGAGGUGGAGCUAAUCCCAUAAAAUCGAUCGUAGUCCGGAUCGCAGUCUGCAACUCGACUGCGUGAAGUCGGAAUCGCUAGUAAUCGUGAAUCAGAAUGUCACGGUGAAUACGUUCCCGGGCCUU
rnacentral:rRNA from 1 species